rnacentral:rRNA from 1 species
GACGAACGCCGGCGGCGUGCUUAACACAUGCAAGUCGAACGGUAAGGCCCUUCGGGGUACACGAGUGGCGAACGGGUGAGUAACACGUGGGUGAUCUGCCCUGCACUUCGGGAUAAGCCUGGGAAACUGGGUCUAAUACCGGAUAGGACUCCUGCCUGCAUGGGAGGGGGUGGAGAGCUUUUGCGGUGUGGGAUGGGCCCGCGGCCUAUCAGAUUGUUGGUGGGGUGCUGGCCUACCAAGGCGACGACGGGUAGCCGGCCUUAGAGGGGGACCGGCCACACUGGGACUGAGAUACGGCCCAGACUCCUACGGGAGGCAGCAGUGGGGAAUAUUGCACAAUGGGCGCAAGCCUGAUGCAGCGACGCCGCGUGAGGGAUGACGGCCUUCGGGUUGUAAACCUCUUUCAGCACAGACGAAGCGCAAGUGACGGUAUGUGCAGAAGAAGGACCGGCCAACUACGUGCCAGCAGCCGCCGUAA